AGGAGCUGCAGCGAUGGACAGUCUGAGGACAGUGAUGUGUUUUCUGACUGGGACAAUGUCCUGCUGCUUCUAGGACUAACACGCGGUUUUCAGGUGUGUCUGCCUACGUGAACGGCCUCCGAGCAGGAUAUCAGAGACAUUUAGACUGAAAACUUGGCUCGCGGUUACUUGAUGACACUCCGGGGGCAGAAUGAUGGGCACAGUGCCCAUCAUUCAUUGUGAGUUAACGUCGUGACCACGGAGGGAAACCUUCGUCUCACUAUUCUCCAGCUGAGGGACGACAAUAAACCUGCAGGAGGUCGAGCAACAACAUCCCAGAGCCGAGGCCUUCGUGCUCCAACACUGCUAAGCUAAUUAGCCUCAGUCUCAAUCUAAUCUGUGAGAGGCUUCAAGCUGCUGCUCCUGUCGUUCAGCCCGAGGAUCCGAACCAGGAUCCCUGUGACAGCAACGAGGAUCGGAUAAUGAUCGACACUCUCCAGACCUGCAACAAAGACGGAGACACACAC